rnacentral:tRNA from 1 species
GCGGGUGUAGCUCAGUGGUAGAGCGUCACGUUGCCAACGUGAACGUCGUCGGUUCAAAUCCGAUCACCCGCU